rnacentral:rRNA from 1 species
GAUGAACGCUGGCGGCGUGCCUAAUACAUGCAAGUCGAGCGAACGGACGAGAAGCUUGCUUCUCUGAUGUUAGCGGCGGACGGGUGAGUAACACGUGGAUAACCUACCUAUAAGACUGGGAUAACUUCGGGAAACCGUAGCUAAUACCGGAUAAUAUUUUGAACCGCAUGGUUCAAAAGUGAAAGACGGUCUUGCUGUCACUUAUAGAUGGAUCCGCGCUGCAUUAGCUAGUUGGUAGGGUAACGGCUUACCAAGGCAACGAUGCAUAGCCGACCUGAGAGGGUGAUCGGCCACACUGGAACUGAGACACGGUCCAGACUCCUACGGGAGGCAGCAGUAGGGAAUCUUCCGCAAUGGGCGAAAGCCUGACGGAGCAACGCCGCGUGAGUGAUGAAGGUCUUCGGAUCGUAAAACUCUGUUAUUAGGGAAGAACAUAUGUGUAAGUAACUGUGCACAUCUUGACGGUACCUAAUCAGAAAGCCACGGCUAACUACGUG